rnacentral:misc_RNA from 1 species
GAAGUGCGAUAUGUAGUGUGAAUUGCAGAACGCCGCGAAUCAUCAAAUCUUUGAACGCAUUGCGCCUGCUGGCUCUAAGCCUGGCAGGCUUGCCUGUUUGAGUGUCGGUUUUUUCUAUCUUCCAUUACGGAAGGAUAUUGAGAGUACAACUGAGCGACAGUUCACUGUUCUCUUUAAAUUUAAUCGAAGCUCUCGGAAUGUUUCUAGUUAGUCGGUGGAGCGCAGUGGAGGUUUUUGGCCUUGGGUAAGCCGUUUAUUUCCUGUGCGCUGGACUGAUUAGAGCUUUCCGCGACUCGUUGCGGAUGAAUACCCCUCUUUUACAUUCGACCUCAAAUCAGGCAAGACUACCCGCUGGAUUUAA